AGAUCAAAUUGUUGGUCGUGCCUCGGUACGUACUGGCAUUAUUGAUUUCUCCCUUCUGAAGAACCACGAUGUCAUUAAUUUGGUGCGCUGGGGAAGCAGGACUGUUACCUUGAAAAAAUUAGAGUGCUUAAAGCAGGUUAUCGCCUGAAUACAUUAGCAUGGAAUAAUGAAAUAGGACGGCAUGGUUCUAUUUUGUUGGUUUCUAGGAUCACCGUA
rnacentral:rRNA from 1 species